UCCAGAAGCUCUUUGUCUAAUCCGAGGUGAGUGAUCGCUGCCCUGAUAUCCAGAAGCUCUUUGUCUAAUCCGAGGUGAGUGAUCGCUGCCCUGAUAUCCAGAAGCUCUUUGUCUAAUCCGAGGUGAGUGAUCGCUGCCCUGAUAUCCAGAAGCUCUUUGUCUAAUCCGAGGUGAGUGAUCGCUGCCCUGAUAUCCAGAAGCUCUUUGUCUAAUCCGAGGUGAGUGAUCGCUGCCCUGAUAUCCAGAAGCUCUUUGUCUAAUCCGAGGUGAGUGAUCGCUGCCCUGAUAUCCAGAAGCUCUUUGUCUAAUCCGAGGUGAGUGAUCGCUGCCCUGAUAUACAGAAGCUCUU